CACAACUCGAUUAAAUGCCUUGUCUAAGGUCAACAAGUCCGUUAGGGUUGGAACUAACUGACGACAGACGAAGCCAUCCUAACCCCUGAAAUCUACAAGUAGUCCAGGAAGAGGGGGAGAAGAUCCCUUUAGGUGUGAAGGAAGAAUGGACUGGAAAGUAGAGACCCUGAGAUCCAGGACGGAAGGCGAGAAGAGGCUCGCUUGACUGUCAUAAGCUUGAUUUUGCUGAAAGAGACCCCAGAAAGGGCAGUGAUGAGAGAUGAGGCCACAAUACAGAUACCCAAUUAUUUCAGCAUCACUUGCUAAAAAUACUUUCCUUUCGUCUUUGGAUUCCACUGGCAACUUUAUUGAAAAAUCAGAUAACUAUGAACACAAAGAGAAGGCGGAAAUCUUCAAGUCAGAAAGAGAACUCACUGAAACCUGACCAUGUUGGCACCCUGAUCUUAGACUUCCAGCCUCUGAAACUAUACUUGUUGCAUGGUUUCCAUUCUGUGCUGCCUUCUCUUCUGGACGAUGGGGUUAGGAUAGUGAAUGAGAAGCUUUGUGUUGCAGUGCUUAGAAGAUAGACGACUUUCCACCAGGGUGAAAAGUGCUCGCAAAAAUAGAUACCAUGUCUCUUUCCUGACAGUAUGAAUGAUGGGGAAACCUGGCUAUGCACAGAAGCCUAACUACUCUCUGGAUACCAUGGAUAAAAGCAGCUUGAACUAGUACCAAAAUGAGCAUUACAAACACUGCAGGUGUCUCUCAAAUCGAGCCCUCAUUUUCCAAGCAAUUAAUGCUGAUUUCAAGCCAAUAGGACAAUAACAAGGGGCUACACCUAGAAGAGCCUGCUGUUUCAUACAACUGUGUCUGCUAAAACAGUUCAGCCACAAAUCCUGGACAAGAGAUCUCCUGCGGAGUGUGAGCAGCAUGGAGGAGCCAUAAUCCCGCUAUCUCUCUCAAGUUCACCAGAAUGCCCAUGGGACCUGUAAUUACAGUGACUCAUCCCUAAAAAAGUUAUUGAUGACAGAAAUCAUAUAGGCAAUUGCAAAAUUGUCUUUGUGAAGAGGGAGAAUAAACUAGAAUGGUUAUGGAAGGAAAAUCCCUCAAGAACAGAAGAGGAUCAAUAACCCAUGGGGGGGAGGCUUCUCAUAUAUUCAUUUCACACACUACUCCAUCCUCUGAUGCAGUCAGACACAGUCUGCUGAACACAAUUUCCACCCGAUGAUUAGAAAAUGCAGUCCCAUCAAAAGCACAUCUGCCCCAACAUCCUCUGUUAUAAUUUGCUAGCACUGGGUGCCACCUCUUGCAUUCUGAAAGCACCGACCCUUUCCUGCUCCCCAAGCUGCAGAGACACUUAUGUUUUUUCCCUCGAAAGAGGAAAUGUGUUUCACUUUUUUAUACCCACAUGUUGGGAGUGGAUUAAAAACAAUAUUAUUUGAUCCUCUGCUCAAUGUCUGAGGCUCAGGAUUACAUAGUUUUAAGUUAAUGCGGUGGUUCUCAAUGCUGGCUGCACAAUAAAACAUCCGAGGAGCUUUUAAAAAUAUUGAAGCCUAGACUGCACCAUGGACAAAUUACAUCAGAACUUUUGGGCAUCUGUGUUAUAUUACACUGCCCCUUGGUGAUUCAAAUGUGCAACCAGCUUGAGAGAUACUAAGCGAAAAGAAACUUUUCUGUUCUCUUUGAGAUUUCUGAAAACAUUCUAAAAGAAUCACCAAAUAAGAAAAUCUCAAAAUAAGAUAAAGAAGCUAUCAUAUUAUUUUGGUCCAAAUUUGUGGAUUUUAUUUUUGGUACGUACACAAUCUGUGUUUCUGCAGAAAUGCAGAAUCAUAUCCAUCCUUGCUCCACCAGAGGUCCAACGACAUACAUCUUUACUGUCUCAUUUGAAAAAGACUGUUCACCUUUUCUUCAUCCCAGACCAUCAACCAUUGCUAAGCCAUAUACGCAUUGACUCCCUUUUUUCUGACCUCAGAACUCCCACAGGCCUUGUGCACCUCUGCUAUUCCUAGGCAACGAGAGCCUUCCUGCAGUAGGAAACACCUAUUCCACUCAGUUCUGUUUAAACUCAAUCUUUUUCAUGUUUCAAGUUCCUCCUGAUACAAACCUGACUCCAAAUCCCCCAGCGCAGAUGAACUUACACUGAGCAUUAGAAGCAAUCUCCUAAAAUUAAUUCCCAAUGGGUCAGUGACUGAUAGCCCGUUAAAGCGUGUGAAGGUAGCUGCAUUCUCCAGUGUUGAAUGCCUAUCAACCUAAAUGAACUGGUGUUUCAUGACAUUUCAGGGGCUAGAAGAGUUGAAUUGAGAAAUCCGUCCAUUUGGGCAGAGCUUUUAGUAAAACUAAAAGUAUUCAGCCCAGCCGGGUGGGUGGACCAGCCUUUUCUUCUAGUUUUAUUGCCAU